rnacentral:rRNA from 1 species
GACGAACCGAGCGAACGUUGUUCGGAAUCACUGGGCUUAAAGGGCGCGUAGGCGGCUUGGCAAGUCGGGUGUGAAACCUCCAGGCUCAACCUGGAGACGCCACUCGAUACUGCCAUGGCUAGAGUCCGGUAGGGGACCACGGAAUUCCUGGUGUAGCGGUGAAAUGCGCAGAUAUCAGGAGGAACACCGGUGGCGAAGGCGGUCAACUGGCCCUGAACUGACGCUCAGGCACGAAAGCGUGGGGAUCAAACAGG